rnacentral:rRNA from 1 species
UUAACCGAAUAGGGGAGCCGAAGGGAAACCGAGUCUUAACUGGGCGUUAAGUUGCAGGGUAUAGACCCGAAACCCGGUGAUCUAGCCAUGGGCAGGUUGAAGGUUGGGUAACACUAACUGGAGGACCGAACCGACUAAUGUUGAAAAAUUAGCGGAUGACUUGUGGCUGGGGGUGAAAGGCCAAUCAAACCGGGAGAUAGCUGGUUCUCCCCGAAAGCUAUUUAGGUAGCGCCUCGUGAAUUCAUCUCCGGGGGUAGAGCACUGUUUCGGCAAGGGGGUCAUCCCGACUUACCAACCCGAUGCAAACUGCGAAUACCGGAGAAUGUUAUCACGGGAGACACACGGCGGGUGCUAACGUCCGUCGUGAAGAGGGAAACAACCCAGACCGCCAGCUAAGGUCCCAAAGUCAUGGUUAAGUGGGAAACGAUGUGGGAAGGCCCAGACAGCCAGGAUGUUGGCUUAGAAGCAGCCAUCAUUUAAAGAAAGCGUAAUAGCUCACUGGUCGAGUCGGCCUGCGCGGAAGAUGUAACGGGGCUAAACCAUGCACCGAAGCUGCGGCAGCGACGCUGAUGCGUUGUUGGGUAGGGGAGCGUUCUGUAAGCCUGCGAAGGUGUGCUGUGAGGCAUGCUGGAGGUAUCAGAAGUGCGAAUGCUGACAUAAGUAACGAUAAAGCGGGUGAAAAGCCCGCUCGCCGGAAGACCAAGGGUUCCUGUCCAACGUUAAUCGGGGCAGGGUGAGUCGACCCCUAAGGCGAGGCCGAAAGGCGUAGUCGAUGGGAAACAGGUUAAUAUUCCUGUACUUGGUGUUACUGCGAAGAGGGGACGGAGAAGGCUAUGUUGGCCGGGCGACGGUUGUCCCGGUUUAAGCGUGUAGGCUGGUUUUCCAGGCAAAUCCGGAAAAUCAAGGCUGAGGCGUGAUGACGAGGCACUGCGGUGCUGAAGCAACAAAUGCCCUGCUUCCAGGAAAAGCCUCUAAGCAUCAGGUAACAUCAAAUCGUACCCCAAACCGACACAGGUGGUCAGGUAGAGAAUACCAAGGCGCUUGAGAGAACUCGGGUGAAGGAACUAGGCAAAAUGGUGCCGUAACUUCGGGAGAAGGCACGCUGAUAUGUAGGUGAAGUCCCUCGCGGAUGGAGCUGAAAUCAGUCGAAGAUACCAGCUGGCUGCAACUGUUUAUUAAAAACACAGCACUGUGCAAACACGAAAGUGGACGUAUACGGUGUGACGCCUGCCCGGUGCCGGAAGGUUAAUUGAUGGGGUUAGCGCAAGCGAAGCUCUUGAUCGAAGCCCCGGUAAACGGCGGCCGUAACUAUAACGGUCCUAAGGUAGCGAAAUUCCUUGUCGGGUAAGUUCCGACCUGCACGAAUGGCGUAAUGAUGGCCAGGCUGUCUCCACCCGAGACUCAGUGAAAUUGAACUCGCUGUGAAGAUGCAGUGUACCCGCGGCAAGACGGAAAGACCCCGUGAACCUUUACUAUAGCUUGACACUGAACAUUGAGCCUUGAUGUGUAGGAUAGGUGGGAGGCUUUGAAGUGUGGACGCCAGUCUGCAUGGAGCCGACCUUGAAAUACCACCCUUUAAUGUUUGAUGUUCUAACGUUGACCCGUAAUCCGGGUUGCGGACAGUGUCUGGUGGGUAGUUUGACUGGGGCGGUCUCCUCCUAAAGAGUAACGGAGGAGCACGAAGGUUGGCUAAUCCUGGUCGGACAUCAGGAGGUUAGUGCAAUGGCAUAAGCCAGCUUGACUGCGAGCGUGACGGCGCGAGCAGGUGCGAAAGCAGGUCAUAGUGAUCCGGUGGUUCUGAAUGGAAGGGCCAUCGCUCAACGGAUAAAAGGUACUCCGGGGAUAACAGGCUGAUACCGCCCAAGAGUUCAUAUCGACGGCGGUGUUUGGCACCUCGAUGUCGGCUCAUCACAUCCUGGGGCUGAAGUAGGUCCCAAGGGUAUGGCUGUUCGCCAUUUAAAGUGGUACGCGAGCUGGGUUUAGAACGUCGUGAGACAGUUCGGUCCCUAUCUGCCGUGGGCGCUGGAGAACUGAGGGGGGCUGCUCCUAGUACGAGAGGACCGGAGUGGACGCAUCACUGGUGUUCGGGUUGUCAUGCCAAUGGCACUGCCCGGUAGCUAAAUGCGGAAGAGAUAAGUGCUGAAAGCAUCUAAGCACGAAACUUGCCCCGAGAUGAGUUCUCCCUGACUCCUUGAGAGUCCUGAAGGAACGUUGAAGACGACGACGUUGAUAGGCCGGGUGUGUAAGCGCAGCGAUGCGUUGAGCUAACCGGUACUAAUGAACCGUGAGG